UUGAGCCUAGAGGAUGACGCCUG
rnacentral:misc_RNA from 1 species